UACGUAGGGGCUAGCGUUGUCCGGAAUCAUUGGGCGUAAAGAGCGUGUAGGCGGCCCGGUAAGUCCGCUGUAAAAGUCAAAGGCUCAACCUUUGAAUGUCAGUGGAUACUGCCGGGCUAGAGUCCGGAAGAGGCGAGUGGAACUCCUGGUGUAGCGGUGGAAUGCGCAGAUAUCAGGAAGAACACCAACGGCGAAGGCAGCUCGCUAGGACGGUACUGACGCUGGAGAACGCGAAAGCGUGGGGAGCGAACAGG
rnacentral:rRNA from 1 species